AGCUCAUAUUGAUGAAUUAGUGCAUCUACCCUCCCAGCCAUGGAAGAAUACCUCAUACAAAAAAAUCCAUAGGUGACUAAUAGAUGUGAGAAUGAAUUGCUGUCUGCUAAAUGAAGUUUGUCAUCUGGGCUAUUCCUGCACAUCUCAUCACCUUCCAUGGAGUGCCAUGGAAGAGAACUACUGUAACAGAGAGGAGAGCACAUUUCAAAGGCUUCACAGGAUUUCUGAUGGCAAACAUCAAACAAAACGGGCAUUGUUUCACAGAUGCACAGAGUAAUAGAGAAAGGGAAGUGGAAACUUCAGCAAUGACCCCUACAGAAACAACAGAAUGUACAGCAAGUUAUGUAGUAGAUUCAACUGCAGAUUGUGUUACCUAACCAGCAGUGCGAGAGAGCAGAGGAAACCCAAACCCUGUGUAACCAGUGCUCAGUGUUUCCUAUUGCAGCCAGCACACUUUAUCGACUUUUUGUAAGGAACUGAACAUAACUAAAACCUCUAAGAUGUGUGCAGCA